rnacentral:hammerhead_ribozyme from 1 species
AUCCAGCUGACGAGUCCCAGAAUAGAACGAGACGCCUGUCAUGAAU